GAUGAAUGCUGGCGGCGUGUCUAAGGCAUGCAAGUCGAAUGCCUAUAGCAAUAUAGGCAUGGCAAACGGGAGAGUAACACAUUGGGAAUCUACCCUGAAGACGAGAAUAACCUUGCGAAAGCGAGAAUAAUACUCGAUGGUAUCAAAGAGCGUAAAGCUUUUUGAUUAAAGCUCCGGCGCUUCAGGAGGACCCUAUGGCUUAUCAGCUAGUUGGUGAGGUAAUGGCUCACCAAGGCUAUGACGAGUACCGGGUGUGAGAGCACGACCCGGCCCACUGGGACUGAGACACUGCCCAGACUCCUACGGGAGGCUG
rnacentral:rRNA from 1 species